rnacentral:rRNA from 1 species
CCUACGGGAGGCAGCAGUGAGGAAUAUUGGUCAAUGGACGCAAGUCUGAACCAGCCAAGUAGCGUGCAGGAUGACGGCCCUCCGGGUUGUAAACUGCUUUUAGUUGGGAAUAAAAGGGGGCUCGUGAGCCCCGUCUUGUAUGUACCAUCAGAAAAAGGACCGGCUAAUUCCGUGCCAGCAGCCGCGGUACUACGGAAGGUCCGGGCGUUAUCCGGUUUUAUUGGGGUUAAAGGGUGCGUAGGCGGAAUGCCAAGUCAGCGGUAAAAUCGCGGGGCUCAACCUCGCUCCGCCGUUGAAACUGGCGUUCUUGAGUGGGCGAGGAGUAUGCGGAAUGCGUGGUGUAGCGGUGAAAUGCAUAGAUAUCACGCAGAACUCCGAUUGCGAAGGCAGCAUACCGGAGCCCAACUGACGCUGAAGCACGAAAGCGUGGGUAUCGAACAGGAUUAGAUACCCUAGUAGUC